rnacentral:misc_RNA from 1 species
AACGCACCUUGCGCUCCUUGGUAUUCCUUGGAGCAUGCCUGUUUGAGUGUCAUUAAAUUAUCAACCUCUUUUGGAUUUGUAUUCAUGGGAGUGUUGGACUUGGGAGUUUUGCGAGCGCUUUUUGAGCACUAGCUCUCCUCAAAAACAUUAGCUGGAACGUCUCCUCAGACUGUAUCAUGGUGUGAUAAUUAUCUGCGCUAUUGAUUAGGCUGACUUGUGUUGAGACUCUGCUUAUAACUGUCCUACAUAUUGGACAAGAACACUUGUGUUCUUCUUUGACAACUUGACCUCAAAUCAGGUAGGACUACCCGCUGAACUUAA